rnacentral:rRNA from 1 species
GUAGGUGGCAAGCGUUGUCCGGAAUUAUUGGGCGUAAAGCGCGCGCAGGCGGUCCUUUAAGUCUGAUGUGAAAGCCCACGGGCUCAACCGUGGAGGGUCAUUGGAAACUGGGGGACUUGAGUACAGAAGAGGAAAGCGGAAUUCCAAGUGUAGCGGUGAAAUGCGUAGAGAUUUGGAGGAACACCAGUGGCGAAGGCGGCUUUCUGGUCUGUAACUGACGCUGAGGCGCGAAAGCGUGGGGAGCAAACAGGAUUAGAUGCCCUGGUAGUCCACGCCGUAAACGAUGAGUGCUAAGUGUUAGGGGGUUUCCGCCCCUUAGUGCUGCAGCUAACGCAUUAAGCACUCCGCCUGGGGAGUACGGCCGCAAAGGCUG